rnacentral:lncRNA from 1 species
UAACUUGCUUGUUUUUGGCCUCACACCAGAGACUCUUCUAUGGAAAGCACUUAACCAUAAUGGAAAAACAGUGUUCAUCGAUGAAAAUCGGUAUUAUGCUGCAUAUAUAGAAGAAAAACACCCUGAGAUUGAUGCUUAUGAUGUUCAAUAUACAACAAAAAGGAGUGAGAUGAAAGAGCUUAUAGCUUCAGCUAAAGAACAUGUAGCAAAUGAGUGCAAGCCAGUGCAGAAUCUUUUAUUCUCGGAUUGCAAACUUGGAAUUAAUGAUCUUCCAAACCAUGUGUAUGAAGUUGAUUGGGAUGUAAUAUUGGUUGACGGGCCUCGUGGGGAUUGGCCGGAAGCUCCCGGGAGAAUGUCGGCGAUAUUUACCGCCGGGGUGUUGGCUAGAAGUAAGAAAGGUGGUAACCCAAAGACUCAUGUGUUUUUGCAUGAUUUUUCUGGUGAAGUUGAACAAGUUUGUGGGAAUGAGUUUUUGUGUAAAGAGAAUUUGUUGGAAGCAAGUGAGAGUAUGGGGCAUUAUGUUUUGGAAAGGAUGAAUGAGAGCAGUGUUCAGUAUUGUAAAGGGUCUUCUUCAUCCACCUAAUGCAUCUAUGAAAUCAUAGAAAUCGCGAUGACACCAUGAUUUUGUCGAGGUCCAAAAUGUAGUUUUUAUCAAAAUCACGGUGGCUCGACGUGACUAUACAAAAGACAAUUCAAACAUGCAUUAAUUAGUUGCUCCUUCUCUUCCAUUUAAAUUUCUCAUAAAUGUCUUAGUCACACAAUUGAUUCAUCUACCAUCAGUUAUUUUACCCUUAUGGUGUUUUGGGUAUUUAUCAUCAUCCAUUUUACUCUCCAUUUAUGUUUUGUUUGUUUCUUGGUUUGCAGAUUGUAAAAAUUAAUAAUUCUUUUUGUUUUUCAUUCGAAGGCAAUGAAAAUUGUAAUUUGUUCAAUGAAUGAAUUCAACCUUUCAAAUUUCAAUUGACUGUGUUUUGUUUUCCAAGUUAAGAAAUUAAUUUCACAAUAUAAAAAGUUAAAAAUUAUUUUUUUCUCAGUAAAUAUUAUUCGCUUUGUGAAAUCGUGCCCUUAACGGAGAACACAUUUUAGCAUGACCAUUAAAAAAUGAAGAUUGCUUUUUAGGCCCCUCCAAUAUCUCUUUAGGCCCCCUAAAAAUACAAAAAUAACCUUUAUAAUACAUCCGGUAGUUACAUACCGGUAGUGCAUUUUAAAUUUUCACAUUUUACACCUUCGGUAUGUACAUACCGGAGGCACAUUUACAAAUUUUCACGUUUAUCGCAUUCGGUAGUUAUGUUCUGGAGGAACAUUCAUUUUGCGAUUUCUCAAUUACACAUCCGGUAUAUAUAUACCGUACUCCACCCACGUUGUUAUCUGUUUAAAAUGGUGCAGUUUUUUAAGAGUUAUUUUCUAAGCUUCAAUAUUGUUCCAUACCUUGCGUUUUUUGGCCAAUUUUUGUUGUGUUUUCAUCACAAUUAAUAGAACAAAUGGCGUCAAUCUUUACUCAAUUGCAAUCAUUUAGAAGGUAACCUUGCUUCUUCCUCUCUCGUAUUGUUUCUUCAUAAUUUUUUUAGAGUUCUGUCAUAUUCAAUGAAAAGUUUGAUCCUUUUAUUUCUGUAAAUUUUAUGCACCCUACCAAAAGUUUGUGAAUUUUCCAACAUAGCAGAUCAUGUACAUUUAAAUAACAUAAUGCGAUAAACGCGAAAAUUUGUAAAUGUGCCUCUGGUAUGUACAUACCGAAGGUGUAAAAUGUGAAAAUUUAAAAUGCACUACCGGUAUGUAACUACCGGAUGUAUUAUAAAGAUUAUUUUUGUAUUUUUAGGGGGCCUAAAGAGAUAUUGGGGGGCCUAAAAAGCAAUCUUCUUAAAAAAUAGCAUCAAAUCCACCACCACAACUAAAUGCAACAACUACACUUGAGUUUAAGGUUGCUUGGUUGUCCCUGAAAAAAAAAACAAAAAAGAAUUAAGGUGACUUGGAGUUGGAAGGACGUUGCUUAAAGUUCAACUGCUACGGCUUUGUUAAGUAAACUUGCCCCAUAGAUAAAAGAAAUUCAACCAAUCCAAUUUCUUUGGUUGCUUAAAAAUCAACAUCAUCUUAUCUUUCUCCGUGGGGGUUUAGCUUCUCUCCUCUUUUUUCUUUUUUAAUUCAAUCUCAUAAGGUUUGUUCGUAGGGCGUUAUUGUGUUCUAAUGACACAUGUUAAGAAACCUAAAAAUAACAAUUUUAUAUCGAUAAAAAAAAUAUUUUAAUUUUUAAAAGUUAAAUGAACAACUUUUGAGAUGAAUAUUUCUUUAUUAAAUUCAUUAAUGUAUACCCCAUGUCACCAAUUGUCUUCUUUUUGUAAGGUUAGUACUUUUUUAGCAACGAACCGCAUUUAUUUACAAUAUAGAGAGAAGAGCUCAUACUUCAUUUCCAAUCUAACUUGCUUAUAUAAAAUGUUAACAAGUGUCUUUAUGACAUUAAAACAUUGAAAAAUCAACUUCUUUUAUAUAAAUUUUAACAAUUAUUUCAUUUUUUAAUCCUUAAAAGUACCGUAAGAACACUUGUUAGGAUAACAUUUUGCUUGUGUGUCAUGCCUAAACAUAUAGCACCACCUCUAGAAGAGAAAAGGGAACAUGUGCGCCAUCUUUGGCCUUUUUUAUAGAAAAAAGUUUAGCAAAGUUGGAUUUCAAAAGCUCACCAGAGUUUAUGUAGGCUUAGUACCGUAAGGACACUUGUUAGGAUAACAUUUUGCUUGUGUGUCAUGCCUAAACAUAGCACCACCUCUAGAAGAGAAAAGGGAACAUAUGCGCCAUCUUUGGCCCUUUUUAUAGAAAAAAGUUUAGCAAAGUUGAAUUUCAAAAGCUCACCAGAGUUUAUGUAGGCUUCAAGGUUUAAUGAGUGCUUUACAGAUCAUCCAGUAAAGAAAUUCUGACGUCGACAACAAGAGUUGAACACAUGGAUGAGUGAACUUCUUACCAACUGAACGAACAUUC